rnacentral:rRNA from 1 species
GACGUAGGGGGCGAGCGUUAUCCGGAUUCACUGGGCGUAAAGCGCAUGUAGGCGGUUGCCCAAGUCCGUUGUUAAAGCCCCUGGCUCAACUGGGGGAGGUCAAUGGAGACUGUGCGACUUGAGGGCAAUAGAGGCACGUGGAACUCCCGGUGUAGCGGUGGAAUGCGUAGAGAUCGGGAAGAACACCAGUGGCGAAGGCGACGUGCUGGGUUGCACCUGACGCUGAGAUGCGAAAGCGUGGGGAGCAAACAGG